GUUGUCGUGGCCGAGUGGUUAAGGCGAUGGACUCGAAAUUCAUUGGUAUUUUUCCCACUCAGGUUCAAAUCCGGUGCUUUGUUC